rnacentral:rRNA from 1 species
AUACGGAGGGUCCGAGCGUUAAUCGGAAUUACUGGGCGUAAAGCGCGCGUAGGCGGCUUGAUAAGUCGGAUGUGAAAUCCCCGGGCUUAACCUGGGAAUUGCAUUCGAUACUGUCAGGCUAGAGUGUGGUAGAGGGAAGUGGAAUUUCCGGUGUAGCGGUGAAAUGCGUAGAUAUCGGAAAGAACAUCAGUGGCGAAGGCGGCUUCCUGGAUCAACACUGACGCUGAGGUGCGAAAGCGUGGGGAGCAAACAGGAUUAGAAACCCCAGUAGUCC